rnacentral:lncRNA from 1 species
GAACUCUGUGUAUCUGGGAUGUCUAGUUGGGAUUGAUAGCUUCAUUUUUAUAUGCGAACCAUUCUGGAUAAAUAACAUGUGAUAUUCAGAAAAUUUAGUGGAUCGGGAGCUAACAAAUAGUAGUUAACAUUUGUGAAUUUGAGUAGUGCACCUAGAAUUCAAAGGGUACCCAAUUGUGGUGGAGGUAUAAGUAUUCUGAGACGUCACAUUUACAUUUGCCUUAAGGGUUGCUAUGAUUUAAAGAAUCUUUUAACUUAAAAACGAUGUUUGUGGGUAACAUCACUGCAAACCCUCACGAGACAACACUCGUCCACUAGGGUAACCUAGGGGUUUAACGGCUUGUUGCACGUGCUAAGUGCAAUCGUAAUGCUCUACGAAAGUGAGUAUUUAUUUUAAUUCAUGCAUAUUGAUAUAUAUUAAUAAAAAUAAACAAUACUUUU